rnacentral:rRNA from 1 species
UACGUAGGUGGCAAGCGUUGUCCGGAUUUACUGGGCGUAAAGAGCGCGCAGGCGGUCGUUCAAGUCGCGUGUGAAAGCCCCCGGCUCAACUGGGGAGGGUCACGCGAUACUGAUCGACUCGAAGGCAGGAGAGGGUAGUGGAAUUCCCGGUGUAGUGGUGAAAUGCGUAGAUAUCGGGAGGAACACCGGUGGCGAAGGCGGCCCGCUGGCCAGCGACUGACGCUGAGACGCGAAAGCGUGGGGAGCAAACAGG